rnacentral:rRNA from 1 species
UGCGCGGCUACCAUGCAGUCGAGGGGUAGGGUUACUUCGGUAAUCUGAGACCGGCGCACGGGUGCGUAACGCGUAUGCAAUCUACCUUUUACUAUGGGAUAGCCCAGAGAAAUUUGGAUUAAUACCAUAUAGUAUAUUUGAAUGGCAUCGUUUGAAUAUUAAAGAUUUAUCGGUAAAAGAUGAGCAUGCGUCCCAUUAGUUANUUGGUGUGGCAACGGCAUACCAAGACGAUGAUGGGUAGGGGUCCUGAGAGGGAGAUCCCCCACACUGGUACUGAGACACGGACCAGACUCCUACGGGAGGCAGCAGUGAGGAAUAUUGGUCAAUGGAGGCAACUCUGAACCAGCCAUGCCGCGUGCAGGAUGACGGUCCUAUGGAUUGUAAACUGCUUUUGUACGGGAAGAAAACAAACUACGAGUAGUUAAUUGACGGUACCGUAAGAAUAAGGAUCGGCUAACUCCGUGCCAGCAGCCGCGGUAAUGCGGAGGAUCCAAGCGUUACCCGGAAUCUUGGGUUUAAGGGUCCGUAGGCGGCCUUAUAGUCAGUGCUGAAAGUUUUUGGCUUAACCAAAAAAUUGCCAUUGAUACUGUAGGGCUUGAAUAUCUGUGAAGUAACUAGAAUAUGUAGUGUAGCGGCGAAAUGCUUAGAUAUUACAUGGAAUACCGAUUGCGAAGGCAGGUUACUAACAGAUGAUUGACGCUGAUGGACGAAAGCGUGGGUAGCGAACAGGAUUAGAUACCCUGGUAGUCCACGCCGUAAACGAUGGAUACUAGCUGUUUGGUUUUCGGACUGAGUGGCUAAGCGAAAGUGAUAAGUAUCCCACCUGGGGAGUACGGUCGCAAGACUGAAACUCAAAGGAAUUGACGGGGGCCCGCACAAGCGGUGGAGCAUGUGGUUUAAUUCGAUGAUACGCGAGGAACCUUACCAGGGCUUAAAUGUAGAUUGACAGAUUUGGAAACAGAUUUUUCUUCGGACAAUUUACAAGGUGCUGCAUGGUUGUCGUCAGCUCGUGCCGUGAGGUGUCAGGUUAAGUCCUAUAACGAGCGCAACCCCUGUUGUUAGUUGCCAGCACGUAAUGGUGGGAACUCUAGCAAGACUGCCAGUGUAAACUGUGAGGAAGGUGGGGAUGACGUCNAAUCAUCNCGGCCUUACGUCCUGGGC